rnacentral:rRNA from 1 species
AUGAACGCUAACGAUAUGCUUAACACAUGCAAGUUGAACGAAAAUUAUUUUUUAAUUUUAGUAGCGUACGGGUGAGUAAUACAUAGAUUUUAAAAUUAAUAGAUAAAGGAUAUUUUUUAGAAAUAGAAAGCAAUACUUUAUAGAAAUAAAGAAAAUUUUAUAUGAAUUUUCGUCUAUUUAUUGAUUUAUGUCUGAUUAGCUUGUUGGUUGGGUAAAAGCCUACCAAGGCGAUGAUCAGUAGCUGGUCUGAGAGGACGGUCAGCCACAUUGGAAUUGAAAAACGGUCCAAACUCCUAUGGGAGGCAGCAGUGGGGAAUAUUCUGCAAUGGGCGAAAGCUUGACAGAGCAAUAUCGUGUGAGGGAUUGAAGGUUUUUAGCUAGAAUUGUAAACCUCUUUUAUCAAGGAAGAAAAGAAUGACGGUACUUGAUGUAAUCAGCAUCGGCUAAUCUCGU